rnacentral:tRNA from 1 species
UAUUAGGGGGUAGCAUAAUGGAGUGCUUGAGAUUUUGAGUCUCUCGGUGUGGGUUCAAGUCCCAUUCUUCUAA